GACGAACCGUGCGAACGUUGUUCGGAAUCACUGGGCUUAAAGGGCGCGUAGGCGGGCUGUCAAGUCCGGGGUGAAAUCCUCCAGCUCAACUGGAGAAUGGCCUCGGAUACUGAUGGUCUCGAGGAGGAUAGGGGCACACGGAACUGUGGGUGGAGCGGUGAAAUGCGUUGAUAUCCACAGGAACUCCGGUGGCGAAAGCGGUGUGCUGGAUCAUUUCUGACGCUGAUGCGCGAAAGCCAGGGGAGCAAACGGG
rnacentral:rRNA from 1 species